GACAGAGGGUGCAAACGUUGCUCGGAAUCACUGGGCGUAAAGGGCGUGUAGGCGGGUAGAUAAGUCGGGCGUGAAAUCCCCUAGGCUCAACCUAGGAACUGCACUCGAAACUGUUUAUCUUGAGUGCCGGAGAGGAAAGCGGAAUUCCUGGUGUAGAGGUGAAAUUCGUAGAUAUCAGGAGGAACACCUGUGGCGAAAGCGGCUCACUGGACCUAACUGACGCUGAUGCACGAAAAGCGUGGGGGAGCAAACAGG
rnacentral:rRNA from 1 species